UAAGGAAUAUUGGACAAUGGACGCAAGUCUGAUCCAGCCAUGCCGCGUGAAGGAUGAAUGCCCUCUGGGUUGUAAACUUCUUUUAUAGGGGAAGAGAGAUACUUUUUUUAAGGUAGUUGACGGUACCCUGUGAAUAAGCACCGGCUAACUCCGUGCCAGCAGCCGCGGUAAUACGGAGGGUGCAAGCGUUAUCCGGAUUUACUGGGUUUAAAGGGUGCGUAGGCGGGCAUGUAAGUCAGUGGCGAAAUACCGGAGCUUAACUUCGGAACUGCCAUUGAUACUAUGUGUCUUGAAUAUUGUGGAGGUAAGCGGAAUAUGUCAUGUAGCGGCGAAAUGCAUAGAUAUGACAUAGAACACCGAUUGCGGAGGCAGCUUGCUACGCAAAUAUUGACGCUGAGGCACGAAAGCGUGGGGAUCAAACA
rnacentral:rRNA from 1 species